CUGGACGUGUUCACAUAUGACAACAAGUUCACUAUUUGUUUCAUUCGUCAAUUGUAAAAUCGGUGGGCGCAUUAAGUUGAACUAUGAUCCUGUCUUGGUAUAUGGAAGAUGAGCCAGUCCGGCUAUCUAGCGGCACGGGCCACGUCUCCUUUUAUUCCCCUAUGAAGCCUCGCGAUUUACUGUAGCACUCCUUUUAUUCCUUUAUGAAGCCUCGCGAUUUACUGUAGCGCUUCGGCGAGAACAAGUCUCGAGCGCUCUCCUCUCCCUUUCCCCUCGCUCGCUUCCUCCUCCCUCACCCGCAGAACCCUAGCCGCCUCCUCUCCUCUCCCCUAGCCGCCUCCUUCCCUUUCCCAGCUGCGAGGGAGCAUUGCGUGAGCUGCCCCGUGCUCGACGUGCACGUCCUCAGCCCCCGUGCCCCUCCGCUCUCUCCUCCCCUCCCUGUCUCCAACCCUAAACUUUUCCCUCUCAACCCCGCAGCCGUCUCCCCUAGCUCCUCGUCCCCUUCACUCGUUCCAUCCCUCCUCAUCCCGGAUCCAGCGGAUCUGAGGAGUGCGGGCGCGGAGCCGAGUCUCCCCGACGGCGGCGGCGCUCGAUUUGAUCUGCAAGAGAGAGAGAACAUGAGAAGGGGAGAGAGAAGGAAGGAGAGGAGGGACGCCACCGUGGAAGAGCAGGGGCAACAUGGUCUUCGUGGUGGGCAUGGAGGAGCAGAGGAGGAUGCUGGUGCGGGGUGGGGUCAGAGUAGCAGGAGUUCCAGGUGACGCUUGCGUCAUGCGCUCUCCUCUCCCUUUCCCCUCGCUCGCUUCCUUCUCCCUCACCCACAGAACCCUAGCCGCCUCCUCUCCUCUCCCCUAGCCGCCUCCUUUCCUUUCCCAGCCGCGAGGGAGCAUUGCACGAGCUACCCCGUGCUCGACGUGCACGUCCUCAGCCCCUGUGCCCCUCCGCUCUCUCCUCCCCUCCCUGUCUCCAACCCUAAACUUUUUCCCUCUCGACCCCGCAGCCGUCUCCCCUAGCUCCUCAUCCUCUUCACUAGUUCCAUCCCUCCUCAUCCCGGAUCCAGCGGAUCUGAGGAGUGCGGGCGCGGAGCCGAGUCUCCUCGGCGGCGGCGGCGCUCGAUUUGAUCUGCAGGAGAGAGAGAGCGUGAGAAGGGGAGAGAGAAGGAAGGAGAGGAGGGACGCCACCAUGGAAGAGCAGGGGAAACAUGGUCUUCGUGGUGGGCAUUGAGGAGCAGAGGAGGAUGCUGGUGCGGGGUGGGGUCAGAGUAGCAGGUGUUCCAGGUGACGCUUGCGUUAUGGUGGAGUGGAGGAGCUCGUCUUACAUCAUCACCAUCCCCAAUCUAGGUUGCUCCCGCCUCCUCCUUCCCCUGGUUUUUAUGGUCAUGUCAACUGGUACUCCAACUGGCACUGAGACUGAGGUAAUGGUGUGGGAAUUGGGGCUGCAAGGACGUGAAAAUGGCCUAGAAGAGAGUUAGCAAUGGCAUGCGUCCUCAAGUAAUUUCUUGCCAAUGCAGAGCAAGACAAAAAAACCUAUUGUUGCAUUCAUAGUUGGACUUACUGCACCCCCGCUCCGUCGCAUGGGCCAUGCUGGAGGUGUUCACAUAUGACAACAAGUUCACUAUUUGUUUCAUUCGUCAAUUGUAAAAUCGGUGGGCGCAUUAAGUUGAACUAUGAUCCUGUCUUGGUAUAUGGAAACAAGAUACCGGCAGUUUUUACGUUUCCAGAUUGUUUAUUACUCCCUUUGUAAAGAAAUAGAAGAGUGUUUAGAUCGCUACUAUAGUGAUCUAAACGCUCUUAUAUUUCUUUACGGAACUGCCACACACUCACACAGGUUCUUGGUACUCUCUGUAACCUGCAGAUGAUGGGUGGCGAAUCCGGAAACCACAGAUCCAUUCCCCUGCAUAAUUUUCGUUUUCUCAUUUGAUUUGGUACAAGGCCUACUCAGAAUGGGUUCCCUGAUCUCAAAAUUGUCAGUUUUCUUGCCUUUAGUUUAUAGGUACCUUAACAAAUACAUGUAUUUACCAUAUUGGCAGUCAGCACCAUAUGGCAUUCAUUCUUCAGGAUCUCAUAUUUGAGGUUAGCAAUUCGAAGUAAUGUGAGAGCUUGCAUGUUUAUAGUUCUAACUAGCUUUUAGUUUAGCGUAGGAUAAGUCUUUCAUGAAUUCUUAGUUGGUUGUUUAUUUUUGCUGGCUAUGCAUGACACUGCAAUUUUUUCAUAAUUUUCUUCAAAAGUUAACUAUUUUCUUAUCUGUAAUUAACUGGUUGUUGCUCCUAGCCGUUAGCAAGUCUGUCGUCCCUGGCCACCCUGUCAGUCAUCUAUACAACUGUGGUUCAUGCCUGCGUGCUAUCCACUCCUAAAUUCUCACACCAUGUCAGGUGUUUACAAGUGAUGAUCAUUGUGGUCUUUAGUUGUCAUGCCUGUAAUCCUAGCGCAUGGGCUUUCGCGGGCUGGUCCAACCGGAGUUGGUUGAUGGCAGGGGCUGCGCUCCGGUGACCGUAUGGCUGAAGAAGGGAUGCAAAUGGAAAGAAUUUUGAGAUGCAUAAACUCCCGUCUUUGAAUCAGAAACAGAAAAUUGUUAGUUUUCUCGUUUCUUAGUUAUGCUACCCUGCUCCACGUAGGUUUUACAGUGAAAAGCUAAAGAAGUUGUGACGGCGAUAAAAGGACUGAAAGAUUUGCUCGAAGCAAAGACAUCGAGCCGAGAUACAUAUGGAACGAAGAGGAGGGAUCUUUUGUAGAAUAUGCGACAUCCAUGGUGCUGAAGGUGUGCUAUUAAGUCUCAGUUGCUCCUGCAAAAUAGCAUCUUAAUAAACAAAGGAACAAAGAGGAGGGAUCUUAUGUAGAAUAUGCGACAUCCAUGGUGCUGAAGGUGUGCUAUUAAGUCUCAGUUGCUCCUGCAAAAUAGCAUCUUAGUAAACAAAGGAUAUGCACCGCCAAGCAGUUUGUUGUGUAUUUUUUCCUUCCAACCUUAUUGAUAUGCAUGUUGCUCAAGGUGUUUUUACUUGUUUACCUGAUUAACAAAUUAAUAUAAAUUUAAAACACAGGUUAAUAAAUUUACCGCAGUCCUUGCUGAAAUCUGUAUUAUUAUGUGUUGACUUUCCUUUGAAUAAUAUAAGCUGGUCUUGUUGCCGCAAAUGAUUGGAUACGCUAAAUUCUUUUUCAUGCAUACAAGUUGAUUUGGUUAUCCUGUAAUACAUUAUUACGUUUAGUUAAAAAUUUAUGUUUUGUAAUUCAGAUAGGAAACAAUGGUAUGUGAUAAUGCCCUUGCUUCUGACAGAGCCUCUUUUUUUAGUCAUUCAUAGAUGUGUGGGAGGGCUGGUUGUCCACCAUUUGAUGAUAGUAGAACAGUUGUAAUUAUGACAAGAUGAGGGGCAGUAUUUUUUUCUAUGUUUUCCUCCCGUUAAUACUGAAAUACAUUUGACAGGAUUUUUUCCUGUUUUUGGUCUAACCCGCCGUAAGUUUGUCUCGUGGGUCCAUCUAUAUGAGAACCUUCUCAGUGGGUGUCAAAUGGUGGAGUCUCAGUAUGUUCUUUUAAGUUCAGUUGAAAAGUUCUUACGUGAUAUUUUAACUGAAACUUAACUAUGCCAUGGAUGGUACUUCAUUUGAGACUCCUGGCUGAGUAUAGAUACUAUGACCAGACCUUCGUCUUGAUUCUUAAUGCCUUCUUCGUUUUAGUCUCCAUCUACAUGUGCAAUUCAUUAUUUUCCUAGAGAUGUCUAUAUAACCGUAUCAUGCAUUUUUUUCUGCUAUGUAAAUAGCACUUCCCUUGGCUUUGGCGGUGGUGGUGCAGGAUUCGUCGCACGCCAAACAGAGCACCCGAGGAGAAGAGGAGAAUGCUCUGAAGAGAGGAAAUGAUAUGUUUUUUUUGUUUUGUUUUAAGAGCUAAGAUAGGAGUUGAUAUGUAGUCCCCUGACUUCUAUACUGAUCCACAACACUUCACAAAAGAGUAUAUAUCAACAUCGUAUGCUACAAAAAAAGCAAAGUAAUCUUUUUUA